AGUCACAGCUGCUGUUUCGGCGCGGGGCCGGGCCGCUGCCGCGACGUGUGGAGGCAGGAGAGCGAUGAUUGCCGCAGGAGAAGUGCGGGCGCCCUUCACCUGGGGCCCCUCCCGAACCGCCCCCGGGCCCAUGCCCCUCCAGGGCCCAGGAGCGAGCCAGCGGGAGGGCGAGGGCGAGCGCUCCUGGCGAGGACAGAUUAAGGCGAACCCCCAGUCAGCGGACAUUUGAGCGGCUCCUCGCCGCGUCUCUGCCCCCACUCCAAACCGGACUCGACGCCUGUCCCGGGCCGUGACGCACGCACCGGAGGAAAAAGUGCUUCUCGGCUCGCUCCCUCUUUGGGGAAGAGAGCUCACUCCCCAUGCGGGCGCGGGACACUCCAUCUCUGUUCCUGCCGGUCGGGUCCGCAAACACCGGGGAUCCCAGCUGCGGCGCCCAAAGGGUUAACGCAGGCGUUCGGCCAGUGCAAACCGGCCUCGCAGGAUCCGCGCUUAAAAUCCGGGUGUUUUCAUUUUGGGUUUGUUUCUUCUACUAUGCCAAGCUGGUGGCUCUCUUUUAAUUCUCUUGUAACAUCUCAACCCUGCACCCAUCUUUCCUGAGGGGAAAAGGAAACGGGAUAACUUGCGGUAUUUCGAUGCUCAAAGGUAACCGGCGGCUCUGCUCCAACCUUCAAGAGAUUUUGCAAGUUGAAAAAAAAAAAAAAACCAUCCUUCGUAACAUCUACUUAAAAAAAAAAAAGCAAGUUUUCCUUCUUGUACACGCAUAUACACAGUAAAGAUGUGUAUCUUACCUAAGAUACCGCGCUUCAUCUUCAUCUAAUCUUUAUUUGAACUCACCGUCGCCACUGGCCCAGAGACCUUGUCAGUGUUAUUUUCAGUAUCAGUUAAUCAGAACAAAAAGAUAAGUUCUGCAAUCUUCUUUCUCUUAAUUCCAGAACUGGAAAAUUAAUAUUUAUAUAGCCUCCUCAAAAGCAUACAGGCAAUAGGAAGUAUGGUAUUAUGUUCACGAUCUGAUGAUAGCAUUUGUUUUAAAAUAUUUUAAAAGAUUAGACACAAAAUGUGUAAAAGACGUUUAAAAGUGAAUAAAUAUAAAUCAAUGCUGUUGCAAAUAAUUUUUUUAUCAGUUUAUGUAUCUCACUAGGCUUGACAUUACCAGCCUUCUGAGCUGUGCCCUUGAUGUGUAAGAUAAACGAACAUUGAACAGAAUGAUAGCAUUUUUCCUCUCUUCAGUCACUGAUGGAGAAUUGGUUAAUGUGGUACAAUAAAUAGCCCUUCCUGACACUAUUUCAAAUCUUUUUAACAGAAGAAUAACCUAAAUUUCACCUAAUAAAUUUCAAUAUUAUUUCCCCCUAAAAUAUCUUUCAAAACGACUCAGAGACAUUUAAGAAUCACUGGCUUUUUUCCAACUUUUCCUCCAAGGAAGUUACAAUACAAUGUUGAAUUAUGUAUUCUACUUUAAUCAAGAAUUUGACAUUAAAGUAAUAUGUGAAUCAUUGCUAUAGUACACUAGCAAAAUGGGUAAUAAACUAGAAUCUGUUCACUUUGUGGGUUUGUUCCAGUUCCAGAUUAUAAAAUGAAUGCUCUUAAAGUGUUGUGGUCAUGAAACAAUUAUUGAGCAUCUUUAUUUAAGAACACGAUUCAAUUAAGUUUUCAUUUAUAUCGAUAAAUCUAUAAAUGAAACAUACGGAAUAUAUAUAUUCAUGUAUAUCCAUAAAUGAAAACGUGUGUGUGUGUGUAUCCCGGAACAUAUUUGUAUGCAUUUUAAUGAAAUGUGAGUCAUAUGCAAUGACAAACUUUUACUGUCAUAGUCAAGAAAAUUGUACUGUAGUUUGGUUUUUAUAUUUUUAUUCUUCAAAUAGGAAAUAAAGGGUGAAAG
rnacentral:lncRNA from 1 species